GAAAUGCGAUAAGUAAUGUGAAUUGCAGAAUUCAGUGAAUCAUCGAAUCUUUGAACGCACCUUGCGCUCCUUGGUAUUCCUUGGAGCAUGCCUGUUUGAGUAUCAUGAAAUCUUCAAAGUAAAUCUUUUGUUAACUCAAUUGGUUUCUACUUUGGUAUUGGAGGUCUUUGCAGCUUCACACCUGCUCCUCUUUGUUCAUUAGCUGGAUCUCAGUGUUAUGCUUGGUUCCACUCGGCGUGAUAAGUUAUCUAUCGCUGAGGACACUGUAAAAGGUGGCCAAGGUAAAUGCAGAUGAACCGCUUCUAAUAGUCCAUUGACUUGGACAAUACUUUUAUGAUCUGAUCUCAAAUCAGUUAGGACUACCCGCUGAACUUAAGC
rnacentral:misc_RNA from 1 species